rnacentral:lncRNA from 1 species
GUUAUUACUGAAAUUUUUAAUUUAAACUGGUACUUGCAAGUGAGUAUUAACCUUAAUUUCCUUGCUGGCCUACUGAAGACCAAAAUAAUUCCCAAUUACCAAAGCUUAGCUGAAUCUCAAUUUUAAUAUACUUUUUAUUCAGAGGAAAAAACAUAAAGAAACUGGAAUUACAACUGACUAACCAUAAUUAGAAAAUUUUUCAAAAAAAAAAAGAGGCAUAAAGAAUUGCUAUUACUUAAAAUAACUGACAACUGGUGAUAAGAUACAUACCAAAUGAAAAGAGUAAUAAGCAAGAUUCAUCAACAGCUUCCUAAGAUAUUAGUUAAAUUUUACACAAAGGCAAUGCUCAUUUUAGAUUUCCUAAGAGAAGUUAUUCCUAAUGGUUUUAAAAGCCAGCUAACUUUCUAACAAAGAGUGCUAGACAGUAAGAGAGUGUAUGGAUAAUUAAAGCGUUUGCCAGUUCUUAUCCCCUGAAUUUCCUCCCACUCCUUCUGAAAUAAUAGCUCUUAAAAUUAGACAUUGUUUGAUGCAUAUCGUAAAGUGCACCUCCUCUGGCAUUCAGCACACAAAGUGUUCAACAGAUUAGUUCAGGAAGAUUAUACAUCAUAUUCAGCAGGAAGAGAUCCAUGAAAUGCCAGGAUAAUCCAAAUAACACACUGGACAGAUAGAAAGCUUACAGAUAUUCUGAGGAUUCCGAGACCUGUGUUAGAAUAUUCAUGUACAAAGUAGUUCUUCUAUAGGUACUGUCUAAAAGUUAGAUCUAAGUAGCUCAUUUGCUCUAAUUAAAAGCAUAUAUUACCACUAUGAUGCUCAAAGACUAAAAGAAACAAUCAUACAGCGGUUUCUUGAAACAUACAACAGGUAAGGGUGACUAUUCCCAAGUUGCCAGAUACCCUUUGUGGGAUUAACUGGUCAAUGUUUUUAUAAACAUGAGAACUUAAUUUUAUAAUAGGUCUUUCCAGAUUCUCCUUCAAUACCAGAGGAGGUAUAUUUAUAUACAAAAAACAGAGCUGAAGGCAGG